rnacentral:rRNA from 1 species
UCCGGAUUCAUUGGGCGUAAAGAGCGUGUAGGCGGCCAGGUAGGUCGGUUGUGAAAACUGGAGGCUCAACCUUCAGAGGUCGACCGAAACCAUCUGGCUAGAGUCCGGGAGAGGAGAGUGGAAUUCCUGGUGUAGCGGUGAAAUGCGCAGAUAUCAGGAAGAACACCCGUGGCGAAAGCGGCUCUCUGGAACGGUACUGACGCUGAGACGCGAAAGCGUGGGGAGCGAACAGG